AAGGCGAAGAUUUUUCUGACAUUUCGGACAUAAACAUUAUAAUGUGUAUAGUUUCGGACUCAAACAGAAUUAUAAGGUUAUUUUCCGCACGAAAUGUAUCAACGUUCUGACAGUGUGUUAGUUUAACAGUAGGUGGCGUUGUUGCCGGUUUGUUUGUCAGCAGCAUGACGUCCUGUGAUUCAGCAUCUCAGAAAAGGACUCUGUCCAACCUUUUUGCCAGUCGUAUGGUAAAGAGGAAGAAGCAGGUGGAUGCUCAGGAGCUACAGGAGGCAGUGAUCCAGCUCUUGGACCAGUACCAGAACCCGAGUAGCCUGCUAGCUGAGGUUCAGAAUGCAGAUCCAUGCUGUGUUUUGUCCAUGAAGAAAAACGCGUCUGAUGGAAU